GGAAAGCGGAAAAGUCGAAUACGAGCGCGAAAGGCUGCUGGGAAUCGCUAGAACAUUAAUGAAUCUUUUUAGCGAUUCCUAUCAGCCUUUCGCGCUCGUAUUCGACUUUUCGACUUUGCUG